ensembl:lncRNA
UUUUUUUUUUCUUAAUAUUAGCAUUUGGUUUCUUUUAUAUGCAAAUAUCUGAAGGCUUCUUGAAUUUUCUCCCUGAAAAUGGACUUUUCUUUUUUUACCACAUUGCCAGGCUGCCACAAUGAUAGCUGAAAAUGUAGAAGCAGGUUCAGAAGUGGGUAAUGACCAGAAGCUGCACAGUUUGGAGGGCUUGGAAGACGGCAGAAAGGUGAGAGAAAGUUUGGACUAUUAUAGAAACGUGAUAAAUAGUUAUAAUUAAAAGAGUGACCAUAGAGACUUGUGAAAUAGUUACAAUUAAAGAGGUGACUGAAGGAUGGACAGUGAAAGCCAGGGUUCGAAGGUCUCAGAUGAAAAUGAGCAAUUUACUGGGAACAGGAGCCCAGGUUACUUUUGUUUUGCCUUAGCAAACAACUUGGCAGCAUGGUGCCAGUGUCCUGGAGACCUGUGAAACUUUGAACUUGAGGGUGAUGAUUUAGGGUGUAUUUGGUGGAAUGAACUUCUAGGCAGCAAAGCUCAAGUGGUGUCUUGUCUGUAUCGAACAGCCUGUGGUCUUCUGUGUGACCGAAUAAAUGACCUGAAUUUGAAAUUUAAGUGAGAAGUAGAGCCUAAAAGUCUGGACCAUUAGCAGCCUGGCCAAGUGGUCAAAAAGAAAAGCUGAUUUUCAGUGGGAAAAUUCAAGAAGUCUUCAUAAAUUUGCAUAAAAUGGAGCCCAGUGCUAAAAGCUAAGACAAUAUUAAAAAGAUCUUGAAGGCAUUUCAGAGACCUUUGCAGACCUUUGAAUUUUCUUCCACCAUUUUCCAGACCCCAGCAGAGCUUGCUGUCACAGCCCUGAGUCCUAGGACCAAAGAAUGAUUUCCUGGGUCAGUACCUUGGUUAAGCUGCUGUGUGCCUCCUCAGAACCUUGCUGCUUGCAUCCCUGCAGCUCCAGCUCCAGCUCCAGCCAUGACUGAAAGAUGCACAGGUACAGCUUGGGUCACUGUUUCAGGGGUGCAAGCUUCAAGCCUUGGUGGUUUCCACAUAGUGUUAAGCCAGUAGGUGCACAAAGCACAAAACUAGAGGCUUGGGAGCCUUUGUCUAGACUCCAGAGUAUGCACGGGAAAACCUGGGUGUCCAGGCAGAAGCUUUUCCAAGAGGCAGAGCCUCAUGGGAAUCCUCUACUAGGGCAGUACAGAAGGAACAUAUAGGGUUGGAGCCCCCACACAGGGAUGUACCAUUUUCCAGACCUCAGAUUCAUAGACCCACCAACUGCUUGCACCCCCAGUGUGGAAAAGCCACAGGCACUCAACACCAGCCCAGCCCAUGAGGGCAACUGUCCGGGAAAGACCCUGCACAGCCACAGACACUGAGCUACCCAAGGCCUUGGGAGCCCAGCCGUCCACCCCUGUGCUCUAGAUGUGGGAUGUAGAUGCAGAAAGGAUGAUUUGGGAGCCAUAGAUUUCAAUGACUGGCCUGCUGUGUUUUUGACUUGCAUGGGGUCUGUAAGUUCCAUCUGUGUUUUUUGCUUCUUUCUGGCAGUUUUUUUUUUUUUUUUUCCUUUUCACUGGGAAUGCUUACCCAAUGCCUGUACAAUCAUUGUACCUUGGAAGUGGUUAAUUUGUUUUGUAUUUGUCCGGCAGUCUUGUCUCAGAUGAGACUUUGGGCUUUAGACAUUUGAGUAAAUGCUGGAAUGAAUUAAGACUUCGGGGGACUGUAGAGAAGGUGUCAUUGUAUUUUGCAGUGUGACAAGGAUAUGAGAUUUGGGGGGACUGGGGUCAGAAUAAUAUGAUUUGGCACUGUGUCCCUACCAAUACUCUCAUGGAAUUGUAACGGGGAAUGUUUAAGGGGGGGCCUGGUGAGAGGUGAUUUAAUCAUGGAGAAGAGUGGGUGUUAGAGGUAGGGGUGUGGGGAGAAUGGGGGAGAUUGUGGGUGGGGUGAAAGAUGAGGAUGGGGCAAUGGAUUCUUCAUGAAUGGUUAAACACUAUCUCCUUAAUGCUGUCUGCAUGAUAGUGAGUUCUCUUGAUGAUUA